rnacentral:rRNA from 1 species
AACACAUGCAAGUCGAGGGGUAACAGGAGAGCUUGCUCUCGCUGACGACCGGCGCACGGGUGCGUAACGCGUAUGCAACUUACCCUUAACAGGGGGAUAGCCCGGAGAAAUCCGGAUUAAUACCCCAUAAUAUCAUUUUAUGGCAUCAUAAGAUGAUUAAAAUUCAGGUGGUUAAGGAUGGGCAUGCGUGACAUUAGCUAGUUGGUGUGGUAACGGCACACCAAGGCUACGAUGUCUAGGGGGUCUGAGAGGAUGAUCCCCCACACUGGUACUGAGACACGGACCAGACUCCUACGGGAGGCAGCAGUGAGGAAUAUUGGUCAAUGGACGCAAGUCUGAACCAGCCAUGCCGCGUGCAGGAUGACUGCCCUAUGGGUUGUAACUGCUUUUGUACGGGAAUAAUUGUAGCUACGUGUAGUUGCUUGCAUGUACCGUACGAAUAAGGAUCGGCUAACUCCGUGCCAGCAGCCGCGGUAAUACGGAGGAUCCAAGCGUUAUCCGGAUUCAUUGGGUUUAAAGGGUGCGUAGGCGGGAUAAUAAGUCAGUGGUGAAAUCUUGCGGCUCAACCGUAAAACUGCCAUUGAUACUGUUAUUCUUGAGUUCGGUUGAAGUAGGCGGAAUGUGUAAUGUAGCGGUGAAAUGCUUAGAUAUUACACAGAACACCGAUUGCGUAGGCAGCUUACUAAGCCGUAACUGACGCUGAGGCACGAAAGCGUGGGUAGCGAACAGGAUUAGAUACCCUGGUAGUCCACGCCGUAAACGAUGAUUUCUCGUUGUUGGCAAUACAUAGUCAGCGACCAAGUGAAAGCAUUAAGUAAUCCACCUGGGGAGUACGCUCGCAAGAGUGAAACUCAAAGGAAUUGACGGGGGCCCGCACAAGCGGUGGAACAUGUGGUUUAAUUCGAUGAUACGCGAGGAACCUUACCUGGGCUUAAAUGCAGGGCGAUAUUCUGGGAAACCAGUGUCUCUUCGGAGCGACCUGCAAGGUGCUGCAUGGUUGUCGUCAGCUCGUGCCGUGAGGUGUCGGGUUAAGUCCCAUAACGAGCGCAACCCCUAUCGUUAGUUGCCAUCGGGUCAUGCCGGGGACUCUAACGAAACUGCCGGUGUAAACCGUGAGGAAGGUGGGGAUGACGUCAAAUCAGCACGGCCCUUAUGUCCAGGGCUACACACGUGUUACAAUGGCCGGUACAGAGGGCAGCUACCUGGUAACAGGAUGCGAAUCUCGAAAGCCGGUCUCAGUUCGGAUUGAAGUCUGCAACUCGACUUCAUGAAGCUGGAAUCGCUAGUAAUCGCGUAUCAGCAAUGACGCGGUGAAUACGUUCCCGGGCCUUGUACACACCGCCCGUCAAACCAUGGAAGCUGGGGGUGCCUGAAGUCUGUUACCGUAAGGAGCGGCCUAGGGUAAAACUAGUAACUGGGGUUAAGUCGAAACAAGGUA